CACAUGCAAGUCGAGGGGUAGAGUUAGCUUGCUAACUUGAGACCGGCGCACGGGUGCGUAACGCGUAUGCAAUCUACCUUGUACAGAGGGAUAGCCCAGAGAAAUUUGGAUUAAUACCUCAUAGUAUCUUCGGAAGGCAUCUUCUGAUUAUUAAAGUUUCAACGGUACAAGAUGAGCAUGCGUCCCAUUAGCUAGAUGGUAAGGUAACGGCUUACCAUGGCAACGAUGGGUAGGGGUCCUGAGAGGGAGAUCCCCCACACUGGUACUGAGACACGGACCAGACUCCUACGGGAGGCAGCAGUGAGGAAUAUUGGUCAAUGGGCGCAAGCCUGAACCAGCCAUGCCGCGUGCAGGAUGACGGUCCUAUGGAUUGUAAACUGCUUUUAUACGGGAAGAAACACUCCUACGUGUAGGAACUUGACGGUACCGUAAGAAUAAGGAUCGGCUAACUCCGUGCCAGCAGCCGCGGUAAUACGGAGGAUCCAAGCGUUAUCCGGAAUCAUUGGGUUUAAAGGGUCCGUAGGCGGUUUAAUAAGUCAGUGGUGAAAGCCCAUCGCUUAACGAUGGAACGGCCAUUGAUACUGUUAGACUUGAAUUAGUGGGAAGUAACUAGAAUAUGUAGUGUAGCGGUGAAAUGCUUAGAUAUUACAUGGAAUACCAAUUGCGAAGGCAGGUUACUAUCACUAUAUUGACGCUGAUGGACGAAAGCGUGGGGAGCGAACAGGAUUAGAUACCCUGGUAGUCCACGCCGUAAACGAUGGAUACUAGCUGUUCGGUGCAAACUGAGUGGCUAAGCGAAA
rnacentral:rRNA from 1 species